AAAGUUAGUGGCGGACGGGUGAGUAACGCGUGAAUAACCUGCCCUGUACCGGGGGACAACAGUUGGAAACGACUGCUAAUACCGCAUAAGCGCACGGUUCCGCAUGGAACAGUGUGAGAAACUCCGGUGGUACAGGAUGGAUUCGCGUCUGAUUAGCCAGUUGGUGGGGUAACGGCCUACCAAAGCAACGAUCAGUAGCCGGCCUGAGAGGGUGAACGGCCACAUUGGGACUGAGACACGGCCCAAACUCC
rnacentral:rRNA from 1 species